rnacentral:rRNA from 1 species
AUCAACUUUCGAUGGUAGGAUAGAGGCCCACCAUGGUGGUAACGGGUAACGGGGUGUUAGGGCACGACACCGGAGAGGGAGCCUGAGAAACGGCUACCACAUCCAAGGAUGGCAGCAGGCGUGCAAAUUACCCAAUCCCGACACGGGGAGGUAGUGACGAUAAAUAACAAUACGGGGUUCUUAAGGAUCUCGUAAUUGGAAUGAGUACAAUUUAAAUCUCUUAACGAGGAACAAUUGGAGGGCAAGUCUGGUGCCAGCAGCCUCGGUAAUUCCAGCUCCAAUAGCGUAUAUUAAAGUUGUUGCAGUUAAAAAGCUCGGAGUUGAAUUUCAGGAUCAAUUUGUCGGUCGUGCCUCGGUACGUACUGGCAUUAUUGGUUUCUACCUUCUGAAGAACCUUGAUGUCAUUAAUUUGGUGUCUUGGGGAAUCAGGACUGUUACUUUGAAAAAAUUAGAGUGUUUAAAGCAUGCAUACGCUUGAAUACAUUAUCAUGAAAUAAUGAAAUAUGACGUUUGAUUCUAUUUUGUUGGUUUCUAGGAUCUACGUAAUGAUUAAUAGGGAUAGUUGGGGGCAUUAGUAUUCAAUUGUCAUAGGUGAAAUUCUUGGAUUAAUUGAAGACUAACUACUGCGAAAGCAUUUGCCAAGGAUGUUUUCAUUAAUCAAGAACGAAAGUUAGGGGAUCGAAGACGAUCAGAUACCGUCGUAGUCUUAACCAUAAACUAUGCCGACUAGGGAUCGGAUGAUGUUAUUUACAAUGACUCACUCUGCGCCUUAUCGAAACCACAGCGUUUGGGUC